AGUUCAUUAUCCAUCACAUGCUUUAAUAAUAGAUGAUUCCCUUGGUCCCUUGUGUUGAUUGUUUUGGUUGGCUCGGGAACAGCCAAUAAAAUAACAAUACUGGAUUGGUUGCUUCAAGUCAGCCAAUCAGGAAGUUUACAAAGAGAAAUAAAACACCAGCAGAGAGUGUCUUGAGACUUCUGCCUACUAAUACUCUGGUCUAAACGCUAAGACAACACAACACGACUGAGAGAGGAAGUGUCGAGGAUUUUCUUUUCUUAAAAACUGGGUGGAGUGUUUUGAAGAUGCAGAAAUGAUGUUAUCAAAAGAAAGCGAAGAAGAGGAUGAUGAUGAUGAUGAUAAAAAUGAAGAUUGUAAUAGCAGGGUUGGUGGAAUAAACAUCUGUUGCCAAGGAUAGAUGCCACACCCUGACACUACAAUUAAGAAAAAUUUAGUAGAGACACUGGACCGAAGAACUUGUGUAUGCCGUUUUGGAUUAUUUUCGUUGUCCAACCGCCUGCCUUGUAAACAAAAGAUCCUCAUGUCAGUACCAGUGCCUUUUAAUGUAUUUAUCAAUGGUUCAAGUCAAGUAUAGCUCUCUGGACUUACUUGUUUGCUGUUGGUUUACUUGUUUGUUUUCUGAUUCUUCAGAAAAAAACUUUGGUGGGUCAUUCCUUCAAUUUGAUAACUUCUAGACUUUUGGGAAAUGAAACAUACUUUUUUGUUGGUUAAAUCAUAAAAGGGACAUUUACAUUUAACUAGGACAGUUCAUUUAUCAUGUACAUUUUAAUCAGGCCAAAAAAAUUAGUUUUUUAACUAUGCAAAUUAGUUUUAAAAUUGAGCUUGUGGGGAAAAUGACUAUUCAUUAAAUAAAAUGAUCUAAAAUUAAUACAAUUUGACUUUCAGGAAGAUAAAGUAUAAGGAGCUCUUUGCCCUUUUAAGAUAAAACAAAAAUUAUAUCAGCUGACGUUUAAAUAUUAAUACCACAAUUUUAAACACUGGGGACUUUUAGGGACUUUAAAAUGAUUGAAUUGCAGGAAUGACCCUCAGUGGAAUGUCACGCACAUCAUUCUAAUGUGUUUGGUCCAUUUCAUUCUUCAGUUCUGAUAAACACUGGAUGUGUUUCAACAGUGCUGAUAAAUAUGUUGCUCAUUUAAGAGUGUACUGUUCCUACUGUACAAGUAAUAGAGUGAUGUAAUGUUUUUUAAACGUAUAUUCUGUCCGAAUAUAAACAGUAAUUCUUAUUACUUUAUAUCUGACAGUUUAUAGCCAUGUAGUGCUUGUAUAAUGAAUAAUUACUAUUAUUAUAAUAUAACAUUAUAUUAUAUUAUAUUCUGCUCAUUAUAGGGGUCUAGAUAUAAGGUCCAGCUCAAAGUGAAUCUCACCUGAUCUAAUAUCAGAUGCAUUCAUGUACUACUGCAUGUCAUCGCUUGGUUAUGUGGCAGGGGAUUUUGGCUAGUGAUAUGUCCCAGUGUAACAGUGAGGAUUGCAGAUUGAUUUGUGUUCCUCGUCUGCUGUCAAACUGUUUCUCUGUGACUGUAUUAUAAGCUAAAAGCCACAUGGUAACUCCCAUAAACGUUGUGUGAAAAAACAGUGUAACCACAUAAUAUUGCUUAGUAUUUCAGCAUUUGAUAACAUAAAAAUAUAUUGUACAGCCAGGCAGAUACAAUACAAUACAAUAAAUAAAGA